rnacentral:rRNA from 1 species
GACGAACGCUGGCGGCGUGCCUAAUACAUGCAAGUAGAACGCACAGUUUAUACCGUAGCUUGCUACACCAUAAACUGUGAGUUGCGAGCGGGUGAGUAACGCGUAGGUAACCUGCCUGGUAGCGGGGGAUAACUAUUGGAAACGAUAGCUAAUACCGCAUAAUAUUGAUUAUUGCAUGAUAAUUGAUUGAAAGAUGCUAUUGCAUCACUACCAGAUGGACCUGCGUUGUAUUAGCUAGUAGGUGAGGUAACGGCUCACCUAGGCGACGAUACAUAGCCGACCUGAGAGGGUGAUCGGCCACACUGGGACUGAGACACGGCCCAGACUCCUACGGGAGGCAGCAGUAGGGAAUCUUCGGCAAUGGACGAAAGUCUGACCGAGCAACGCCGCGUGAGUGAAGAAGGUUUUCGGAUCGUAAAGCUCUGUUGUAAGAGAAGAACGGGUGUGAGAGUGGAAAGUUCACACUGUGACGGUAUCUUACCAGAAAGGGACGGCUAACUACGUA